AUGCUCACUUCAGCAGCACAUAUACUAAAAUUGGAAUGAUACAGAGAAGAUUAGCAUAGUCCCUGUGCAAGGAUGGCAUACAAAUUCAUGAAGUGCCCCAUAUUUUU